GAUACCAAUGUAGACAUACUAUUAAGGUGGUUUACUAUUAAUCGAGUCUAUUGCUGAGAUGUACAUGUUUUAUAGAUAGCACCUUACUUUACCAUUGCGGGUGCUCUUAGCAGCAUUGGCAACCUCGUGCUGUUCCUUUGUAGGGAUAGGUGCUUGUCAGUCUCAGCCAAACACCUCCCUUCAAUCAGCAGAAAUUCAGUUUACUACUAUUACUAUGUGCUGCUGCCAAAUCCUGUCGUUUUACACUCUCCAAGCAACAAAUCGUUCGAGCGACCAACAACAUUGUGCCAAGUCCAUGACACAACGAAGAGGAUUCGCCCAUCUGUGCGACCAUUCACCCUUGCUGAUCAUCUUCUCACAUAUUGCAAUCAUCGUGAAUGGGCGAGAGGUCUCAUGUUUCAUGAGUACAACUGUAUACUUGAGUGUUUCGAUGAUCUGCUGAAGAAAAUAGAACACAGGAUUCUGAACUGAGGAUUCCACGCAUCACAGGUGGAAGCUAAGGGAGAGGCUUGUUGUACUGAAGAAAUUACUGCUCAACAUUUCAGAUGAUGGUCACGGAUCCACCAGCAACAUGCGAAGAGUAGAGGUGCUUUGCAGGACCAGCAGUCCAACACCAUGGCCUGGAGGGGCACAUCAAACAAACCACAGGAACUCAAGAUUACUCCUACCAUCCUACAUGGCUGUACCUUGAUGAAAUUAUCAAAGGAAUCAGUGAACAUCUUGCCUUGGCAAAGGAAAACCGUGAAGAGCUACUUAUUACGAAGAUGAAGUUCCACUGUUUCACCUAUUUCGACGUUUUCCUUUGGUUCGUGAAAUUUGCUAAUUUUCCCUGUAAUUUGAACCAGCCUUGAGUUUUCAUUCACGUCACUAAUUUUACAGGCAAGUAGGCAACAGCUUAGAUAGCCUUGAGUUUUCACUAAUUUGUCAUGUCUCAACAGGCAACAGCCUCCUUGGCCGCUUACCGUGCAUCUGCUACUCAAUUUUAUCCAAAAGCGUGCCCUAGACUUGCUCCUUGAUCUAUAUCUAGCUAGUUAUGGCAAUAUAUCAGAGGAAUAUAUCCUAUACACCAACUAACAAAUAUCAUAUUAAAUUUUAGAAAAAUUAGGCACAUA